GUACAAUGCUUCUCAAGCAUGUUGCAGUGUAACUUGGUCUCUAAGCCAUGAAAAUCUCACCUAACAGUUAUCCAUUUCUUAGUUAAGUCAGACCCACCGUAUAACUGUAGGAAUAAAGUCGUCAUUGGGUCCUCACCUAACAGUUAUUGGUGCCCAACCCCACCUUUACCCUACAACAUCUCAUGUCUAUAGAGAGGUCCAGCCCCCCGAUGCAACUUGCCCACUGUGUCCAGCCGAGACAAAUCAACAUCAGAAAGACCUUGGCAGCUCUACUACAGUGGAAGACCUAUUGACUUAAUAUUGAUUAAUCAGGUCUUA
rnacentral:lncRNA from 1 species